rnacentral:rRNA from 1 species
GGAUCCACUCGUUCCCAUCCCGAACACGACCGUUAAGCCCUCCAGCGCCGAUGGUACUUGGGGCGAAGGCCCCCGGGAGAGUAGGACGUUGCCAGGC